rnacentral:snoRNA from 1 species
AGGCUACAUAGAGAAACCCUGUCUCAAAAAACCCAAACAAAACAAAACCCUGAAUGGAGUUCCCCAUGGGGCCCUGGUGUGCAACAGGAGCCUGGUUGCCUAUCUGGGCUGUCCUAGGGACCUUGGAGACAAUU